AUUGAACGCUGGCGGCAUGCCUUACACAUGCAAGUCGAACGGUAACAGGUCUUCGGAUGCUGACGAGUGGCGAACGGGUGAGUAAUACAUCGGAACGUGCCUAGUAGUGGGGGAUAACUACUCGAAAGAGUGGCUAAUACCGCAUGAGAUCUACGGAUGAAAGCAGGGGAUCGCAAGACCUUGUGCUACUAGAGCGGCCGAUGGCAGAUUAGGUAGUUGGUGGGAUAAAAGCUUACCAAGCCGACGAUCUGUAGCUGGUCUGAGAGGACGAUCAGCCACACUGGGACUGAGACACGGCCCAGCCUCCUACGGGAAGCAGCAGUGGGGAAUUUGGGACAAUGGGCGCAAGCCUGAUCCAGCAAUGCCGCGUGCAGGAUGAAGGCCUUCGGGUUGUAAACUGCUUUUGUACGGAACGAAAAGCCCUGGGUUAAUACCCUGGGGUCAUGACGGUACCGUAAGAAUAAGCACUGGCUAACUACGUGCCAGCCGCCGCCGUAACAC
rnacentral:rRNA from 1 species